ACAGGCAUUUAAUUAACUGAAGCGGCAAAACUAUAAGGCGAAACGAAUACAAAGUACAAAAACAGUAGAUAAAGUAGAAAUAUUUACUUAUCCGUUGAAAAGAAGCCCGAACGUGUCCUACCGUUUGUCAGUGAUGAAGAAGAUAAUGAUUCAGAGCAACACCUGUAGCUUGUGAACGACUCAGGUACGCUGGAGAAUCCACAGUCUUCUGUCAUUUCUUUUCCAUUCUCAGAGGGGUUUCCUGCACCUGCUUCCUUCCUUUGUGGUGCUAAUCAGCUAACGCAAGCUUGAAGAUUUGUACUGAGCCGUACCUCUCGGCCAGGCCACCUUUAGUGAGGCUAGAGAUGAUGAUAGGGUCGAAGGGCUCCUCGGUGCCCGAGAUAGUGAUGCCCAGCGGCCCGCCGAAGCG